GCCCGUGUCACCGGGUUAGGCGCGUAACCGACCACGUGUUUGUUUUGGUACAUGCAAUGCGUGUGCAUGGUCACUUGGGCAAAUCCUUCCUGACUGGCGUCAUUCUGUGUGAAUUACCGGGAUGUCUGGUGUUGCAUUGUUAGAAUCUGGAAGUGUGGAUCCUCACUCCUUGAUCAAGCAGCAGCAGUGGCAGCAGUCAUUGCUGCCCAGAGGAGGAAGCAUCAGGAUGCAUCUAAGAGUGCUCAUUGGCUGCUGGAGGCGAUAUGUCACUGAUUCAACGUAACACACAAGGCAGCCAAUCACAGGAAGGUUUUGUGUUAUCACCAAGAAUGCCAUGAGACAUUGUUUACAAACUGUUAUGUGCCCACAGCCACCAAUCAUAGUAUUCCAGUCAUGGCCAGCAAACCUCCUAAGAAAAUAAGACCUUGGUUCACUGACACCGAGACCUUAGCCUUGGUGGAGGAGGUGUAAAAUCAGGCUGCAGUGAUUCUGGAAAGGCUGGACAAUAGAAUCACCACAGAAAAGAACAAGACUUGGGAGGAGGUGGCUGCACAUGUGAACACAGUCAGCCGAGUGGGUAGCUCUGAGGAAGUUUAAGGACCUACGGAGCCACGUGAAGAGCAAGGCUGUUGCAGAACAUCAUCAUGCUACAGGCACUAGUGAGUUCAUCAGCUUUGCCUAUCACACUCUUGUUAGCAUAGUUGCAAACCUAGCAUGGUGUGGUUGACACAUCAGGGGCCUAGACAGCUAUAGGGAUGGAAUUGCUGUGAUAUAACCAAACAGGUGUGAGUGCUCCUGCCAGUGAGUGAAGUUAUGGCUUAUGGUUCCAGGCCACACAGUAGGGAAUUCUUUCACUCUUUCACCAGUCUCAACAUGGCUUUUCUUACUUUUCUCAUCAGAUAGAGAUUGUCAUUGAGUAAUUUAAACCCAUAUUUACCCACUGCAAAUUAUUUAUAAUGCUGAUGGGAAUUUUUAAACAUCUAUUUUUGGGAGGCAAGUUAGUUUAGGUUUGUUUGGUUAGGUUAUGUUAUUUCGUUCUGUUAGAUUACAUAGGUUACUUUGGUUAACUUGGUUGGAUUAGGUGGUGGUGUAUGACAGCUGGCUGGUGGCCACAGUGAGUGGCUGCUUAUUUGUGAGGGCCAAUCUACCUUUUUCUUGUACAUAUCAGUCUGUUUUGUAUUAACUGCUUUUGUUUACUGCAAAUAAUUAGUUUCUGAGGGGAUGGUGGGUCAGGGAGUAAAAAGUAAUGGCUCAUGAUUUCCAUAAAAACAAGAACCAUAUUGAUUCAAAACAGGCAAAAAAAUACGAGAAAUAAAUAGUUUCAUCCACAUUAGAAAACUGGUGAGAGUAAAAAUUUGCCCACUAGCAGCAUAUUUGCUUAUUAUUUUAUCUUGACCAAACUGUAAACUGCAUAUGGAAUUUAGUUAACUAAUGUUUUGGACACUGCUUUAAGUAAUAUGACCAAAUUCCCUAAAUGACUUUGUUGCAUAAUGGGAGAUAAAAAUUGUUUCUUUCUGCUCACCCUUUGGGACCCAAACUUCUAGAAAAAAAUAUUAUUUUAAACAUGUUCUUCACUGUUGAGGUUAAAUAUAUGUUCUACAUUGUUGAGGAAGAGUUAGGUUAGGGUAGGUUGUUAGGUUGGUUAGCUAGGCUGGACUGAUGGUAGCAAUGCUUAAAACCCCUCCAAAGUUUGCUGUUGUGUACAUGUUGUAAUUUAAUGUUGGUGCUGUGUAAAAUUUAUCCAGAUAGUUGAUAACCAUAACCAAGAACCUGCUAAGCACUGGAUUAUAGAUAGCAGUGUGUACAGUAAGUACCUGUGGCAGUCAGGUCUGAGAUGGUGACCACUGCAGUGAUUAAAAUCUUCAAGAUGAGUACUUACACAUUCAAGUAUUACAACAGGUGGACUUAGCUCCAUGCAGGUGAAGGAUCUCCAGAGGACACCACCUACACUGUUGUCCUAUGGAUGCUGUCACUAACAGCAUUUGCAGAACUGCCAGUCCCUGACAGGGAGGGAGACACAUUAUGAGAGUCUGGCCCUCUGUGAGGACCAUAGCCAUCCACCCACCAGCAGUGGUGUUACAGUCAUCCAGCCCUCAUCUGCUGGUGUUGCUGGGGCCUCUGGAUUCAUUGUUGCUGUGGGUGCAUUAUGUGAAGUUUUAGCAGUGGGCAUUAGUUUCUGAACUCAUGCAUCUUACAGAUGACAUCACCCAGUGGUGAAUAACUGUUGCCACUCAUUCAUGUUAACAUGUAUUCAGUUUUGUUCUCCUGUACAUACCUAUGAACAUUGUAUGUACAUUUAGCAUAUGAGCCAUAUUUUUCAAUGGUCUGUAUUACAGUUGAUUAAUAUGAUAAUUAAAUGCCUUAUUUGUGCAGUACAUUAUUAGUGGACAAUUUGUUUAACCCUCAUUUGUAUGCUGUUACUUCAGCUGCCCAGCAAAACUGCAGCAGAAGGCUACUUUGGCUUAUUUUUUGAGGAAUACAUCUCUCAGGUAUUUAAAAUACUGAUUCCAAAAGUGUGUCUUGACACCACCUUGGGUAUAGUGGAAAGGUCCAAGGAGCAAAUGAGGAAAAAGGACACAGCAGGAUAGCAAGACAUGUAACUUGACACACCGUCAAUCAUCACCGUCUGCUAUGUGUAGUGCUACUUCAUUUCAAAUACUAAAAGAUGAAGCAAAACCUGCCAUUUAGUACUGCUAAUUAACAGCUUCUAUAAAUAUUUCCUGUGUUUUUAUGUAUUGGAGGAAGAGACACUGAAUAGUGGGUAAAAUAGUAAUUCAGUCUUUGAAACGUGUGAAAUGUGGUAAACAUGAUCCCGUAGGAGUGCCUCAAUGUAAUUCAGUCUUUGAAACGUGUGAAAUGUGGCAAACAUGAUCCCGUAGGAGUGCCUCAAUGUAAUUCAGUCUUUGAGACGUGUGAAAUGUGGCAAACAUGAUCCUGUAGCAGUGCCUCAAUGUAAACACAGUUUUCAAGUGGUUUGGUGGCAAGGCUGGCUCUCUCAACAAUCCCCAAGGCCAUCACUGCUGCACACCUGUAUCUUCCCAGCAGAAAGAUAUCUGAGUGUUAUAUGUUCACCUUCAUUUCAGAGGUAAGUGGGUUGCUCCUUUCUGUGUCACUCUAUAAGGCUUCUCUUACUAGAUCGGUGACAGAGAGAAUACCUGCAUGAUCUACACGGUAUCUUUUGAUGAGUUCUGUGUCAUAAAUUCAUACAAUAUAUCCUAUCUGGGUAAAUAAUUCCUAAGCUGGGGUGGUUGUGGGUGGCCAUCUUGGUAGCAGGAGCAUCUGUCAUAAGCUGCUAAGACAGGGUGGACUCAGUCUUACCAUCCCAUGUGGAUUUAAGACAAGAAUGCUCCAUUCUGUCCUAGCUAUGACAUAUUUCAUAACUAAGACUUGCUAGGACUGCUUCAUAACUCCUAGAAUAGAAUACAAGAAGAGGUGUAAGGCAAGGACUGUACACAUGACUUUUUUUUUUUAAGGCUCACUGGCCAAGGGAAACAAGAGGAAAAAAGAUCCCACUGAGGGGUCAGUCCUGAAAGAGAUGUCAAGAGAAUCAUUGAAAUUUGAAGGAUAGGUGUCUUAAAACCUCCUGCUUGAAAGAGCUGAAGUCACAGAAAGGAGGAAAUACAGAAGCAAGCAGGAAGUUCUAGAGUUUACCAGAAAAGCGAAUGAAUGAUUGAGAAUACUGGUUAACUCUUGCAUUAGAGAGAUGGACAGAAUAGGGAUGAAAGAAAGAAGUAAGUCUUGUGCUGCAAGGUUGCAGGAGGAGGGGCAAGAGGAGGGGAGGCAUGCAGUUCGCAAGAUUAGAAGAGCAGUUAGCAUGAAAACAGCAGUAAAAGAUAGCAAGAGAUGCAACAUUGUGGUGAUGAAAAAGAGGCUGAAGACAGUCAGUAAGAGAAAAAUUGAUAACACAAAAAACUUUUGAUUCCACCCUGUCUAAAAUAGUGGUAUGAGUGGAACCCCCCCCCCCCAGUAAUGUGAAGCAUACUACAUACAUUGACGGAUAAAGGCCCAGUACAGAGUUAGCAGCUGGGGGGUGAGAAAAACUGGCAGAGAUGUCUCAGAAUGGCUAGAUUCAUAGAAGCUGUCCUAGCUAGAGAUGAGAUGUGAAGUUUCCAGUUUAGAUUAUAAGUAAAGGACAGACCGAGGAUGUUCAGUGUAGAAGGGGGGGACAGUUGAGUGUCACUGAAGAAGAGGAGAUAGUUGUCUGGAAGGCUGUGUUGAGUUGACAGUUGGAGGAAUUAAGUUUUUGAGGCAUUGAACAAUACCAAGUUUGCUCUGCCCCAAUCAGAAAAAUUUUUGAAAAAUCAGAAGUCAGAUAGUCUCUAGCUUCCCAGUGUGAAGUGUUUACUUCCUGAAGGGUUGGAUGUCUAUGAAAAGAUGUCCAAAAGUGCAGGGUGGUAUCAUCAGCUUAGGAGUGGAGAGGACAAGAAGUUUGAUUUAGAUCAUUGAUGGAUAAUAGGAAAAGAGUGGGUGACAGGACAGAACCCUGAGGAACACCUCUGUUAAUAGAUUUAGAACAACAGUGACCCUCUACCAAAGGAGCAAUAGAACAGUCAGAAAAGAAACUUGGGAUGAAGUUACAGAGGAUAGAAGCUGUAGGAAGGUAGUUUGGAAAUCAAAGCUUUGUGCCAGACUUGAUCAAAAGCUUUUGAUAUGUCUAAGGCAACAGCAAAAGUUUCACCAAAAUUCUUUAAAGAGUAUGACCAAGAUUCAGUAAGGAAAGGGAGAAGAUCACCAGCAGAGCAGCCUUGAUGGAACCCAUACUGGUGAUCAGAUAGAAGGUUGUGAAGUGAUAGAUGUUUAAGAAUCUUCCUGUUGAGGAUAGAUUAAAAAACUUUAAAUAGGCAGGAAAUUAAAGCAAUAGAAUGGUAGUUUGCAGGAUUAGAAUGGUCACUCUUUUUAGGGAACAGGCUGAAUGUAGGUAAACUUCCAGCAAGAAGAAAAGGUAGAUGUUGACAGACAGAGCUGAAAGACUUUGACUAGGCAAGGUGCAAACAUGGAGGUACAGUUUUGAAGAACAAAAGUAAAGACCCCAUCAGGUCCAUAAGCCUACCGAGGGUUUAGGCCAGUGAGGGCAUGGAAAAUAUCACUGCGAAGGAUUUUAAUAAGUAGCAUGAAGUAAUCAGAAGGUUGAAGAGAGGGAGGAACAAGGCCUGAAUCAUCCAAGGUAGAGUUUUUAGCAAAGAUUUGAGCAAAUGGUCAGCUUUAGAAAUAGAUGAGAUGGCAGUGAUGCCAUCAGGUUGAAAUGAAGGAGGGAAAGAUGAAGAAGCAAAGUUAUUAGAGAAGUUUUUUGGCUAGAUGCAAGAAGUCAUGAAGGGAGUUAGAUCUUUAAAGAUUUUGAUUUUUGAAGAACAGAGUUGGUAUGGUUCAGGGCAGAAAUAUAAAGUGCAUGAGAUUCUGGUGAUGGAAGGCUCAAGUACCUUUUGUGAGCCACCUCUCUAUCAUGUAUAGCACAAGAACAAGCUGUGUUAAACCAAGGUUUGGAAGGUUUAGGUCAAGAAAAAGAGUGAGGAAUGUUCGCCUCCAUGCCAGACACUAUCACCUCUGUUAUGUGCUCAGCACACAGGGAUGGUAAUAGCUCCUCAGCUCCCUCUGAUUAGCAGAGGCAAAAUGCCAGAGCCACUUUCACUUAGGGGGAUCCUAAGGAGGGAGUGGAGUGACAGGACAAGAUACAGAUAUGAGAUUGUGAUCAGAGGAGCCCAAUGGAGAAAAUAAGGUGACAGCAUAAGGAUUAGAGGUCAAGAAUGUUGGGCGUAUCUCCAAGAUGGUCAGGAAUACAAGAAGGGUGUUGCACCGACUGCUCUUGGUCAUGGAGGAUAUCAAAGUUAAUUAAAGGCCAGUUUGCCAGGAUGGUCAGUGAAGGGAGAGGAAAGCCAAAGCUGGUGGUGAACACUGAAGACUCCGAGAAUGGAGGUCUCUGCAAAAGGGAAGAGAGUCAGAAAGUGCUCUACUUUGGAAGUUAACCAACCAACAACACAAUGGGACAAAACUCCAGCCUCAGCAGCAUCUUGCACCACCACAACACAACACUCACUGAGAAUCACUUAUUACUUGUAUGAGGCAAGUGUGGACACAACAACAGCAACUUGUGUAAGCAAGCUUGACAAGAACACCAUAGUGCACCUCCCUGCAUGAAGCUGAGGGGUGUAUGCACGGCUGGAAGCCUCAACCUUCAUCACCCAGCAGCUGCCACCUCUGUGAACCACCAACAGCCUGAUGCAGAACUCAGGACACCAGUUCACACACUCAGCCACAGAUCAAAGCAAUAAGCCAACUGUGGCUCUGUAUUCUCAAACACUUUGGUGUUGUAUCUUAAUAACACUUAACUGGAUGAAGUAGAAGUUAUUGGAUUUUCAUGAUUCUAAUGAUACUUUAAAAAAGGAUUUUCCACUAGUGAGAAAAAUAUCCAGGGGGAACCUGACUAAUCAUUUCUGUAAACCUUGGAGAUUGUUGCAGUGAAAGCCCACAGUGUUUAAGAGUAAUGUUACC